UACGAAGGGUGCAAGCGUACUCGUAAUUAACUGGGCGUAAAGACGCGCGUAGGUGGUUUGAUAAGUUGGAUGUGAAAGCCCCCGGGCUCAACCUGGGAAUUGCAUCCAAAACUGUCUGACUAGAGUAUGGCAGAGGGUGGUGGAAUUUCCUGUGUAGCGGUGAAAUGCGUAGAUAUAGGAAGGAACACCAGUGGCGAAGGCGACCACCUGGGCUAAUACUGACACUGAGGUGCGAAAGCGUGGGGAGCAAACAGGAUUAGAUACCCGCGUAGU
rnacentral:rRNA from 1 species